UACGAAGGUGGCAAGCGUUGUUCGGAUUUACUGGGCGUACAGGGAGCGUAGGCGGUUGGAUAAGCCCUCCGUGAAAUCUCCAGGCUUAACCUGGAAAGUGCAGAGGGGACUGUUCAGCUAGAGGAUGGGAGAGGAGCGCGGAAUUCCCGGUGUAGCGGUGAAAUGCGUAGAGAUCGGGGAGGAAGGCCGGUGGCGAAGGCGGCCAAACUGGACCACAACUGACGCUGAGGCGCGAAAAGCGUGGGGGAGCAAACAGG
rnacentral:rRNA from 1 species